CCCGGACUCCUACGGGAGGCAGCAGUGGGGGAUAUUGGACAAUGGGGGGAACCCUGAUCCAGCGACGCCGCGUGAGUGAAGAAGUAUUUCGGUAUGUAAAGCUCUAUCAGCAGGGAAGAAAAUGACGGUACCUGAUUAAGAAGCCCCGGCUAACUACGUGCCAGCAGCCGCGGUAAUACGUAGGGGGCAAGCGUUAUCCGGAUUUACUGGGUGUAAAGGGAGCGUAGACGGCGGCACAAGUCUGAAGUGAAAUCCCAUGGCUUAACCAUGGAACUGCUUUGGAAACUGUGCAGCUGGAGUGCAGGAGAGGUAAGCGGAAUUCCUAGUGUAGCGGUGAAAUGCGUAGAUAUUAGGAGGAACACCAGUGGCGAAGGCGGCUUACCGGACUGUAACUGACGUUGAGGCUCGAAAGUGUGGGGAGCAAACAGGAUUAGAUACCCGUGUA
rnacentral:rRNA from 1 species